UUGACGGGGGCCCGCACAAGCAGCGGAGCAUGUGGUUUAAUUCGAAGCAACGCGAAGAACCUUACCUAGACUUGACAUCUCCUGAAUUACCCGUAACUGGGGAAGCUCUUCGGAGCAGGAAGACAGGUGGUGCAUGGUUGUCGUCAGCUCGUGUCGUGAGAUGUUGGGUUAAGUCCCGCAACGAGCGCAACCCUUAUCGUUAGUUGCUACCAUUAGGUUGAGCACUCUAGCGAGACUGCCCGGGUUAACCGGGAGGAAGGUGGGGAUGACGUCAAAUCAUCAUGCCCCUUAUGUCUAGGGCUACACACGUGCUACAAUGGUGAGGACAAAGAGACGCAAGACCGCGAGGUGGAGCAAAUCUCACAAACCUCAUCCCAGUUCGGAUUGCAGGCUGAAACUCGCCUGCAUGAAGCCGGAGUUGCUAGUAAUCGCGAAUCAGCAUGUCGCGGUGAAUACGUUCCCGGGUCUU
rnacentral:rRNA from 1 species